ACCUAGAAACCUUUGCACCUGUUGCCAUGAUGAAAACCAUUAGAGUUCUGCUAUCCCUUGUAGCAAAUUUUUCAUGGCCUCUGUUCCAACUGGAUGUCAAGAAUGCUUUCCUUAAUGGCGAUUUGCAGGAGGAGGUGUAUAUGGAGUUACCUCCUGGGUUUUAUGAUGAAACUAUAGGGAAUAAAGUUUGCAAAUUGCAAAAGGAUCUAUAUGGUUUAAACCAAUCUCCAAGAUCCUGGUUUGAUAGAUUUAGAUUGGCUCUUGAAAGGUUUGGUUAUGUACAGGCCCACUCCGAUCACACUCUCUUCAUUAAGAGAAAUGGUGCUUCUCUCACCCUUCUUGCAGUGUAUGUUGAUGACAUUGUUGUGACCGGUUGUGAUGCUGAUGAGAUUGAUUCUCUCAAACAAUUUCUUGAUGUGGAAUUUGAAGUGAAAGACCUUGGUGACUUGCAACAUAUCUUGGGAAUUGAAGUGGCCCUCUCUAGACAUGGUAUCUUUAUUUCACAGAGGAAAUGUCUUUGAUCUCCUUGAGGACACUGGGAAACUAGGAGUUAAACCAGUAGAAACACCUAUUAAAUUGAAUCAUAAGAUAAAUGCCAAAGGGGGCGAGCCUCUUGAAGACAAAGCCAUGUACCAACGACUAGUCGGAAAGCUCCUUUAUCUAUGUCUUACUCGUCCUGACAUCUCUUAUGUUGUUAGUGUUGUCAUCCAAUACAUGCAUUCUCCUAGAACCACUCUUCCUCUUAGUUUUCAGGUGACCCCUCCAUUUGUUCUCUUUUUUUUCCAUACAUUGCUCCAUACAUAAAACCCCUCACCUAGACCACUACGUCCCUAAAGAGAAAAAUGGUGGAUUUUUUUUUCUCCUCCUUGACCUUCAAACAAACCUGACCGUUGUUUCUACACUCCUCAAAUACGAACUUCUUUGCCUCAAAUGCCAGAUCUCUUCUCCAUCUCGCGGGUAGCUUGUAGCUUCCUUCUCUAGGUCUCUUCUCCAUCUUGCGGCACUGUGGAGGCGUUUUUUCUCGACAACCUUGGAUAAUCCUCAAGUCUGAGAUAUUAUAUUUUUACUUUCUUCAGACAUUCUUCUCUCCUUUUCCUCUCAAAUUCCUCAAAGGCUUUCCCUAGCAAAUCCCUCCGCUCCCCGAAAAAACAAUCCAAGCUUCUUACCAAUCUCUACAUCUCAAUCAACAAUCUCCUCAAUUGGCAAACUUCCUUCCCUUUCCACCAUUUUGUCAAAGAUCAGAACCAACACUUAACAGAACUGGACCUUGUGUCAUUAUUCUCCUCACCUUGGUGAACGCCUACACCUGAGGUUUGGAACUAACAAGAAUCUGAGACCCAAUCCCAUCUCCAUCGUCAACAGUCAGCCCAACUUUCUUCCUACGUUAUCUCUUGUUCACCCUUUUGAAAUUCUUUAUAGGUCCUAGCCCCACCAAACUGAUUUUUAGUUGAGAGAAAACUUUAGUUACAUGAAUAAUUUGGGAAUUUCUUGAGCCCCGAGUUGGUAACCACGACCUCUGCAGCAUCCAAAGCCUUCACAUCUAUCUUCCUUCUUCGUCUUAGAUCCACCCCUAACCUACCAAUCACCACUUCAAAAUUAAGAAGAUCAGCAUUUGUAGGAAAAGGGAAGGCAAUAAACUGAAAAGAAUAGUAGUGAAAUGGAGAAGCUGGUUACUGAGGUUUCUUAUGAGAAAGAGGAUAAAAAGAGGAAAGGGAAGAGAAGAUUGGGCUAGAAAAAGGUGCUAUUUGGGGCUUGUCUCAUUGUUUCAGCACGAAGGUAAUCAGUUGGAAUUAGAGGAUUAGGAAGUGUGAAACAAAAGACUAAUAAGGAGUGAAAAAGAGAGGUCAGAUGUACUCCUACCUAAUUCAGGAAACCAAAUUAUCAUAAUUAGAUAAAAGAUGGAUCAGGAGUGUCUGGGAAUUAGGGGCUUAAGCUGGGCUUAUGCACCUUCAUGGGGAGCUUCUGGGGGAAUUUUAACCAUUUGGAAAAUGAAGGAAUUUUAACAUAAUCAAGUUACAAGUAUAUACAAAAUAUUUGAGCCCUAUUCACCCCUAGUCAGCCAUUGUAUCUGCUACUAAAUUUGCUGAUCUAUGCACCAAUCAAUAAGUGACUAACAGUUCCCAUUUCAGCUGCCUUAUUUCCCUUGUGUCAUUUCUAGAUCUUCAUGAGCUUUCACCAACCAUGACAAAUCUUCCAAUGAAACUGUCUAAUGAUGUCAAAAUUAAGCAAAACUGUCUAAUGAAAGAAAAUGAAGAGGUUUAAGGUUUUGAAUGAUGAAGUUACCAGGUUGUUUUGCAAAAAUUUAGCCUUCUUAGAGAAGGGCACAAAUGGGGAAGAAUUGGCUUGUUUUCCUCUUGAAGUGUCCAUUCUCAAACUCAAAUCCCAUCCUCAUGCUUGAAGUACAGUAAUCACACUGUACUUUUAGGUGGUUGGUGCAUUUUGGUUCGGACAGGUAUGACAAUAACUGGUAGCAGAUGUUGCACAAAUUUAUAGGUAUGUCGUAUGUGGAUAUUUUAGGUGCCGCAGAAGGUGGCCUGAAAGGAAGGUGGAUCUGGCCAAUGAUCUUGAAUGCCACUGCCCAAGGCACUUGACAAUAAAGGAAUAAAUGGACAUUUGAAGGGAAGAAUACCUCAAUCAUGACAAAUCUUCUCCUUCAAUCUAUGCCUAAUAUUUUGGCCAUAAUACUUAUUCUAACAAUUACUCUUUUGCAGGAUUUAAACUUCCAGAUAGGUUGAAAAACUGAAGUCCUGGACCUGAGUGAGAAUUCCUCUGACAGAAGUAUUAUUCUGUAUUUGGGAGCCCUCAAAUCCCUCAGGGGUAAAAUUGGAAAUCCUGGUUGAUUCCGAUUCCAGCUUCUUGAUGAACCAAACAGCAUCAAUUGGAAACGAAUUCUGAUUCCUGUCUGAACUAAACAGAACAAUGCUGUCUGUAAAUAAUGAGCUGUAUGGGUUAAAUCAAUCAGCAGAAGGAAAAAGUGGGGAUCCAUCUUCAGCAACUAUUACCUCUGGUUGUUAUUUAUCCUGAUUCUACUACAUGUAGUUGUAAUGUCAUUGAUGUCCCUUGGGUUUCCCCCUUACUGAAGGAGUAUGAUGAUGAUAAGUUUGAAGGCCAAUUAUUUCAGUAUUCUAAUUUCUAAAGUCCUUGAGGCAUACCUUGAAGUUAGGUUUUUUAAGUAAAGUGUACGAGGUUUGUUGAGGCUCAAGCAGAUAGUGGGGGUGACCAUGGGUCAGGACUAAUUCUAGGCCUACAUCUUUUACAUAUAAAAUAUUAGUAAUGCCAGGGCAUGGGCAGAUUAACUUAUGACUGUAUCCCGUCUCGGAGGUCGGU